UCUGAGGUACGUACGUAUUCAAAAAAAAAAAUAGAAAAGUGGAAGAUUUUGGUUAUUUUUU
rnacentral:ribozyme from 14 species